GACGAACGCUGGCGGCGUGCCUAACACAUGCAAGUCGAACGGGGUAAUCCUUCGGGGUUACUUAGUGGCGAACGGGUGAGUAACGCGUGAGAAACCUGCCUUUCAGUGGGGGACAACAGUUGGAAACGACUGCUAAUACCGCAUAAUGUUAUUUGAGGGCAUCCUUGAAUAACCAAAGCUUUAUGUGCUGAAAGAUGGUCUCGCGUCUGAUUAGCUAGAUGGCGGGGUAACGGCCCACCAUGGCGACGAUCAGUAGCCGGUCUGAGAGGAUGAACGGCCACAUUGGGACUGAGAUACGGCCCAGACUCCUACGGGAGGCAGCAGUGGGGAAUAUUGGGCAAUGGGGGAAACCCUGACCCAGCAACGCCGCGUGAAGGAAGAAGGCCUUCGGGUUGUAAACUUCUUUUACCAGGGACGAAGAACGUGACGGUACCUGGAGAAAAAGCAACGGCUAACUACGUGCCAGCAGCCGCGGUAACAC
rnacentral:rRNA from 1 species